GUGGGGAAUUUUGGACAAUGGGCGCAAGCCUGAUCCAGCAAUGCCGCGUGCAGGAAGAAGGCCUUCGGGUUGUAAACUGCUUUUGUACGGAACGAAACGGUCCGGGUUAAUACCCUGGGCUAAUGACGGUACCGUAAGAAUAAGCACCGGCUAACUACGUGCCAGCAGCCGCGGUAAUACGUAGGGUGCAAGCGUUAAUCGGAAUUACUGGGCGUAAAGCGUGCGCAGGCGGUUGUGUAAGACAGGCGUGAAAUCCCCGGGCUCAACCUGGGAAUUGCGCUUGUGACUGCAAGGCUGGAGUGCGGCAGAGGGGGAUGGAAUUCCGCGUGUAGCAGUGAAAUGCGUAGAUAUGCGGAGGAACACCGAUGGCGAAGGCAAUCCCCUGGGCCUGCACUGACGCUCAUGCACGAAAGCGUGGGGAGCAAACAGGAUUAGAUACCCGAGUAGUCC
rnacentral:rRNA from 1 species